rnacentral:rRNA from 1 species
UACGUAGGGUGCGAGCGUUAAUCGGAAUUACUGGGCGUAAAGUGUGCGCAGGCGGCAGAGCAAGUCGAGUGUGAAAGCCCCGGGCUUAACUUGGGAAUUGCGCUCGAAACUACUUUGCUGGAGUGUGGCAGAGGAAGGUGGAAUUCCACGUGUAGCGGUAAAAUGCGUAGAAGAUGUGGAGGAACACCAAUGGCGAAGGCAGCCAUUCUGGGCCG